CCUACGGGUGGCAGCAGUGGGGAAUAUUGCGCAAUGGGCGAAAGCCUGACGCAGCGACGCCGCGUGAGGGAUGAAGGUCUUCGGAUCGUAAACCUCUGUCAGCAGGGAAGAACGGUCACUGUGCUAAUCAGCAGUGAAUUGACGGUACCUGCAAAGGAAGCACCGGCUAACUCCGUGCCAGCAGCCGCGGUAAUACGGAGGGUGCGAGCGUUAAUAGGAAUUACUGGGCGUAAAGCGGUCGUAGGCGGUAUGUCAAGUCAAGGGUGAAAGCCCCGGGCUCAACGUGGGAACUGCCUUUGAAACUGGCAAACUGGAGUGUGUGAGAGGAUAGUGGAAUUCCAGGUGUAGGAGUGAAAUCCGUAGAUAUCGGGAGGAACAUCAGUGGCGAAGGCGACUAUCUGGCACAUAACUGACGCUGAGGAGCGAAAGCGUGGGUAGCAAACAGGAUUAGAUACCCGGGUAGUC
rnacentral:rRNA from 1 species